UCAUUGCCUACAUUAUGGAGGGCAUCCGUCCCGAGUAUAGUGUAACACCCUAACCCCAACAAAUAUUUUAUAAAUUAAAAUACAAAUAACAAUCCAACACAAAAUGGUGCUACGCAUUCAUCACUUCAAUAUAAUUAAAAAUAUUGGAGCGGAAAAUAAGUUCAAACAUCGUCACAUUGUUUAAAAAAAAAUAAAACUGAGUUCAAAAAAUGAAUUCCAAAACAAAGUAUAAUAAUUAAGAAUAAACCCCAAUCCCUAGUGUUACAGAAUCAGAGCUUGACCCAAAAUAAAAUAAAAGACUCCAAGCAGUGAGAGAAAACAACGAGAAAGGCUCCUAUGUUUCUUCUUCGUGCGUUUCUGUACCACAAGAGAUGCAUAAGCACAUGAAUAGAUUCAGAUAAAAUAACACAUCAAUUGCAUUUAGGCAUGUAUACAUUACACUUAUAAAAUAUUCACAUAUAAACAUAUACAUUCAUUUAAUAAAAUCAAUAGACACCAGUCAACAUCUUAUAAUGACGUGUAGGCAUUAACAACAUUUAGGAAUAUCGAAUAGACAUUUACCAAAAUACAGAUCAUUCAUGUAUAUCUAUAUAGAAGCACAUCAUUGAAAAAUAAACCUUUAAAUAAAUACACAUCUUUAAAUGACACGUCUUUUAAUCACACAUCUUCAAAUAGACUUGCAAAUAUGUAUGCAAUGUCCCUAACUCGAUUCUAUAUGCAUGCCGAUACCGGUUUCUAAUCAACAUUUGUAUGUCGGGGUUGUGUUACCGAAUAUACAUACAACAUUCGUCAUUCAACAUGGUCCUAAAGAUGGUAUGAUGCAUGAGGGAAGACUCUCUAAAUACCACAUAUUAGCACAUCAUCAACAACUCACAAGUACAACAGAAAUCACCUAUCAGACUCAUCAUUUACGUCGUCAUUAAUCAACAUUAUACAACAUCUUUUCGUCAUUAAUCAACAUCAUAUCGUCACAUCUUCAUUUAAUAACAUCAUUAUAUAAUCAUCUUCAAUUAUCACAUCAAUUUGACAAUCAUUGCAUAAUUCAUAAAUUGCACUCAAUCAAAUAAUUCAUCAUUUACACUUCAUCAGAAAAUUUAUCUAAAACUUAUUAUUAAAAACACCUUUAAAAUAGUAGAAAUAAAUAUAUUUAUAAGAAUUAUCUUUAUAAAACCACUUUAAAAUUAUAAGAUAUUAUUCUUAGCUAAUAUAAUAGAAAUUCCUUGAUUAACAUGUGUGUAUGUAUAGACGGUAUGUAAAUCGGUAUCUUCCUAAAAUCAUGCUAACAAAUCAUUACUCUAGUUUAAAAUAUAAUUUAGUUUUAGAAUUAACCGAUAAACCGGACAACCUUUAUUUGUCAAAAGCAUUAAAUCUAAUUUCACAAAAGGUCAAAUUACAAGGAAGCAUCGACAGUAUCAAAAAAUAUAACAAACUAUCUCUAACCUUAUCGUUUUUCUUUAACUCACAUUUUCAAAUAUCACAAAAUACGCUUAGUCAAAUAAUUCAUCAAAUCAUCAAUUAAUGGAAAAAAUAGCUAUUUAUACAGGCAAGACUUUUACUAUAAUGAGACAAAUAUGCAUCAUCAAAGAGAAAGUAAACCAUUCUGAAAACUUAAUUCAUUGUCAUAUUUCUUUCAUGAUUAAUUCAUAUCACCACCUCCUAGAUAAUAAUCAACCCUUCAUUAUAACCAUGCCCUACCUUAAUACUUUUAGAGUUAUAUAUAUCAUGGUCAACCUAAGAUGGGAGGAAAAGCAUUAACCUAUCUAAGAGUUCCUUAAUUAAAGUAGCGAAUUCAUUCGAUUUUUUAAAGGCACUUGACUAUAAUUUUUGUCAACACAAUGUAUACCAUAUUAUAACCCUAAAAGAAAUACCAUAGUUAAUGGCCUUUACAGCAACACAUUUCACUCACGGCCUCUUAAAGUUAAAACUAUACCUAUACUACACCAAGGUCAACAAUCUAAAUAGGUUGUAGUUAAAAAUUAUGCAGGACAAAUCACAAUUACAAAUUCACGAAUCUUUGUCGAAAUAGAGUAUCUGAGAAAAAAUAUAAUAAAAGAUAGUACAAAAAUAUAGGAAAAAAUCAAAAUAACCAAAAGAAGGCAUGGAGUUUCAUAACGGUUUACGAGAGCAUCAUAUAUACAGCAAUCGUUCUUAACACAUAAUUAGAAACUAUAUUUCAAUCAUAAAUUUAGCAUAUGAAAGUAAUGAAUUCACAAUAAUAUAUCCAAAAUCACAACAUGAAUUUAUGAAAAGAAUCAUGAUAAAUAAUAAGAAACAACACCCUUCACUACCGAUAUGUUCAUGCAUCCCUUGUGGUGAAGAUAGACUCUCCCCUUACCUCUAGUUUGCCGAAUUGAUGAAUUUCUACGGUUGAAUCACUCCCUAAGCUCUUCUCUCUUUGCCUCCUUUGCGUUUUUCUUCUCAACAUUAGUUUUUCUUCUCAACCCUAAUUUAUGAAAAGAAUCAUGAUAAAUAAUAAGAAACAACACCCUUCACUACCCAUAUGUUCAUGCAUCCCUUGUGAUGAAGAUAGACUCUCCCCUUCCCUCUAGUUUGCCGAAUUGAUGAAUUUCUACGGUUGAAUCACUCCCUAAGCUCUUCUCUCUUUGCUUCCUUUGCGUUUUUCUUCUCAACCCUAGUUUCUUUUGCUUUGCUAUCUUUUUCUCUGUUUUGUUGUAACCCUAGUUCUAUAAUACUCUCCUCUAUUUAUAACUACCAUUUGAGUUUGUUUCUCACCUAAUUUUUUUUAGUAGGCUUACUCUCUGCACACCCCUAGAUUGGUUAGUAAUUCUAUUGUAACUAUUCAGCUCUACUAUUUAAAUCUCUAUUUUACUAAUACGCCUUUAUUCUCUCCUAUUUGCUAAAAAUGUCACUUUCUCCUUAAUUUCUCAUAAUCUUCUAUUUUUCCACAACUA
rnacentral:lncRNA from 1 species